UACGAAGGGGGCUAGCGUUGUUCGGAAUCACUGGGCGUAAAGCGCACGUAGGCGGACUUUUAAGUCAGGGGUGAAAUCCCCGGGGCUCAACCCCGGAAUGCCUUUGAUACUGGAAGUCUUGAGUCCGAGAGAGGUGAGUGGAACUCCGAGUGUAGAGGUGAAAUUCGUAGAUAUUCGGAAGAACACCAGUGGCGAAGGCGGCUCACUGGCUCGGUACUGACGCUGAGGUGCGAAAGCGUGGGGAGCAAACAGGAUUAGAUACCCCGUGUAGUCC
rnacentral:rRNA from 1 species